rnacentral:rRNA from 1 species
AGUGAACGCUGGCGGCAGGCCUAACACAUGCAAGUCGAGCGGCAGCGCGUCCGACCACCCUCGGGUGGUCGGAUGGCGGCGAGCGGCGGACGGGUGAGGAAUGCAUCGGAAUCUGCCUCGUUGUGGGGGAUAACGUAGGGAAACUUACGCUAAUACCGCAUACGACCUACGGGUGAAAGUGGGGGACCUUCGGGCCUCACGCGAUGAGAUGAGCCGAUGCCGGAUUAGCUAGUUGGCGGGGUAAAGGCCCACCAAGGCGACGAUCCGUAGCUGGUCUGAGAGGAUGAUCAGCCACACCGGAACUGAGACACAGUCCGGACUCCUACGGGAGGCAGCAGUGGGGAAUAUUGCGCAAUGGGCGAAAGCCUGACGCAGCCAUACCGCGUGUGUGAAGAAGGCCUCGGUUGUAAGUACGACUU